UUCAGGCCCUGCCGCUUGAUUCUUUGUAGAAGUUCCUCUUCAAGAGCUCUAACUUGGUCCAGGAUGUAAACCACCUGUCAAGGAAAGAUCGAAAUGUUGGCUUCUGUUUCAAGCAUUGAUAAUUGUGGAUUCAGGGUUAUCUGCCAGUGUGAUAUAAGGAUCACCGUACCUGACCGCCGGUAUCUGGCAACCCAAGGACCUUCUCUUGACCAAAGUAGCCAUGGAUGGAGAAGAUGACGAUGUUGAACACCGAUGGCACCCUGCUGAAGAACUUCUCCAUGUUGAUAGGAUCCGGCGCCUGGAGCACUUCAGAGAGGAAGUUGAGUGUUUCUCUGCAUGUUUCGGCAGUGUCACCCCACCCCUUCUCCAAACCCCACUCCUGAAACCUGCAACGGCCGGCGACCAUAUCGUCGAUCGGUCAGGCUGGCGACGAAGACCUCCGCGAGAAGCAAUGCUGUCUGAAGCUUGUCGGUGGUGUCGAGGGUGUCGCUGAUCAUCAGUUUCUGCAUGAUAGUGAGGAGAGGCCGAGCUCAUUCUACCGUCGACACUGACCAUGCCGAAUGGAACGAUCAAUCAACAUGCAUGCUUAGUUGUUGCUUACCUCGCCACGGUAGUUCAGAUUUAGCAGGUAGUCCAGCAGUGGCUUCAUGCUCUCCGGCUUGCCGCUCAGCUUCGAAGACAUGAACCGGGAGACGAACUGCAUCCCGUUCCCGAUGGACGACGGCAGCGUCAGGUGAGGCGUGGAGAGGUCCAGCGCGCCGAAAUCGACCUCCAGCGAGUUGUCGUCGCGCGCCCUGAAGAAAACAGCAGCAGCAGAGGGUCUCCUUGCACUUGAGGUAAGCGGACGGCGUGAUCUCCUCGACGGAGAGGUCCCCGGAGUGGACCCUGAUGAACUCCCAGACGCCGGGGUUGGUCCGGACGGCGAAGGCGACGAGGGGAGGGAGCACGACGGCCUCC